CCAGUCGUUCCAGUGGCUAAACGUCAAAACCUACCAGAUCCAGUCAAAUGUCAAAGUCAGGUAAGUGAGUUGCCCUCUCAUUUCCAAUGACAGGAGAGUUAGGCAUCUCUUUAUCUCGGCUUCUUGUGGUGCGGUGUUACAAUUUAAAAUCGUUUCAAAAUUAAUACAAUAUUUAAAAUAUUUUACAAUGCCGCGAAUUCGAAAAUGCUGUGUCCGCGAGUGUAAUAACGAUAGCAAAAAAUGCAAUUUGUUCAUUUGGCCGAAAAAUGAACAAAUUGCACAAAAGUGGUGCCGAAAUCUAGGCUUUGAGGGAAGGAAAAUUGCCCCCUCAAACACGUUUGUUUGUGCAAUUCAUUUUGAGGAUUAUGCACUGGGGGCCAAGAGAUUGAAAAUUGGAGCUGUUCCCACUUUAAAACUUGGAAAAUCCGCUGAUGCUGUCCACUUGCCAAUAAGGAAGAGUAGAGAAGUACGAACCUGCUGCGCUAAAGGAUGUCCAUCGGAUGAAACAAAAAUCCUUUUUUCAUUCCCCGAUGACGAGAUUGCCUUUAAUAACUGGGUUUUAGCAUUAAAAAUAAGUACAUCAUACUCCGACCGAAAAAAGUUAUUUAUUUGUGACCGUCAUUUUGAUGUGAAUUGCGUCACAAAUAAUAGACUUAAGGAAGGAGCUUUCCCGAAGCACAAUUUAUUUUAUGAAACUGUAGGUAGUUGUAGCAGCCAUUCUUCAAACAGAGUCCUUCAGCCUAUUAAACGUCAGUAUGCAUGUACUAAUCAAAAAAGAACGAAGAAGAUUUAAGUUUUGAGGAAUUCGAAUUAUAUUCGGAUCUCGAGGGGAAGUGUAAACAAUACAAUGUUUCAUUCAACCCCGAUUCCUCAAAAUGUGACCGCGAAUCUUGCGUUCGGUUUGCAAGGGCUUGUCAGUAGAAUGCCCCUAAGAAAAAUAAACGUGAAUGCGCUCAGACAGGAGAACAGUAUUUUAAAGCAAGAAUUAUUUGAAUUAGAGAAUAGAGCAAUUAUUGCAUCCAAAAAUGCUACUGAGGAUGCAAUAAGUUUUGCUAUGAUGAUUGUCAAUUCCAUCAAUGUAUAGCUUCAAAGUUAUAAGGAAGCUGCAUGCAAUCGAUAGUCAUAUUUUAAAAUAUGUCCGAAGUUGACAUCGUCCCAUAAUGUGGGACCCACAUACAUAUGUAUAUCCCCAUAACACAAUGCUCAGCAAUUCAGUAGCAGCUGGCAUUAAGGCAGGGAUUAUUGGGUAUAGAUACAUAUAAGUGUAUUGAAAUGUUCUGCAAGUCCAGUUGCUUUAACUGUGCAAAAGUGCUCAUUACCAGCAAAGAGAUUUAAAAAGCACUCAGAGUCUUUAAUUUGCUCCAAGAAUUACAAAGAUUACACCGAUUUGUCGGAUGAAGAUAAAGUGGUAUAAAGAGCUUUUCGACCAUCUCAAGAAUAGUAAAUUUAAAAAAUUAAAGAAAAAGGGAUUAUGUUGCACUUAUUUGAGACUAAAAUUUCAUUAAUUGAGGGCAAUAAGUACAAGGUGUGUUUUCUGGUGUAAGUGAUAAAAUAGGCUGACUUCAUAACUCCAUUAGAUUUCAUAGAGUUCAUCAAUUUCAUCUGUGAUGCUUUGAUUGUUUGGACGGUUGAAAUGACGGACAUAACUGAUAAAAAGUGGAGGCACGAACGAAUGAAGCUUUUAAUAAAAGUCCGUUUGCAACAAGAAACAGAGUUUAGUGCAAAAAACAGAAGAGAAACACAGUUCGGGAAAACAUAUUACGUGAAAUUAAAGAAAUUGACAACAUAUUCACUUUUUCUAAAGAUGAAGCGACGAGAUGUUUAAUAAACAUAACGAGGAUCAAAAAGAGAAAUAACACAUCUAUAGAGAGUUCGACAAGUGGGGAGUUUUUCAUAAAUUAAAUGAGGUGUUGGGCAGCUGCAGCAGCAUACAAGUGCCAAGUGAAAUUACCAGAAGUUCGCUUGUAGAAGAUUUAAUAAGCGCGGAACCAUUGACACCCACCGAUAACUACUCUGAUAUUACAUCUUCGGAUACCACCACUCCGAGAAGUGUUAUUAAAUAAAAACGCGGCUACGUACUUGAUUUUCUAAGAAAAUCAUAUGUGGCAGAUGCUCUUAUAAUGGAGAAAUUCUUGGCCUUAGCGAGAAAGAAAAUGGUGGAACUAGAGAAAGUAGCUGGAUUAAUAGAAAUUCGUACCUUAUUUCAGGAAAUUGUUAAAAAUUCACAAUUAAUUUUUUCACUUAUUAGUUUUUUUACCUUGAUGUAAAGAUACGUGUAAAUAUGUACAUAUCUAAAUUGAAUUGAAGCAAAAUAUAAAUAUAAAUGGAGUGAAUUCAUUUAAACGUAAAAUAAUAAAUUCUUGGACAAAUUUUUUUUUCAAUGUCAAAUUUCGGUUCCACAACAAUUACAACAAUUAAUAAUUUAAUAAAAUACAAUAAACGAGAUACACGACAAAGCAAUUAUGCGUUCAUAAAUGUUUAAAAUAGCAUUACAUCAUUUGACAUACAGUGUUGCCGUAAAGUCUGCAAACUGCAUUUUUGAAGUCAGUUCUUCAUUUUUUUGAGAGUGUAAAAAAUUUAGUUUAGUUUAGAAGUUGCUAAGUUCUUUUGCAUGUAGCUUUACACUUACAUACAUACAUACUACAAGUAUACUACAAGUAUGUAUGUAUUUAUAAUAAAUAUAAAAAUGUAGGAGUUAGUUAUAAUUAAUUUUAGUUGUGGUGUAGUUUUUAGUAGUAUUGCACAUGAUGAUUCUACUUUUAUAAAACAGCUGAAUUAUUGACUAAAUAUAAAUUUUCCUAACUUAAAUAACGGAUCACUUACAUAUGUAUGUAUAUAAUUUUGAAAUUUUUCAGAUAUUUAUUUACAUUAAGAAAUAUAUGAGCCGUUUAUAUUGAAAGUGGUUUAAGUUAAUUUUUUCUUAUAUUGAGAUAUUUAAGGGUUUGCGUUUGAAUGGUUUCAAAAAUAUUGUUAACUGGUGUCAAGUGGUUUUUAUGGCUUUGUGGCCUUAAACAUAUUAAAAUUUAAGCACUUUCAAAAUUAAUAAAAAUUACUUUUUUGUUUGUGAAAAGGAAUUAGUCCACUAUGUGCUCUUUGUUAAUUAUUAUUAUAAGUUAACUUUUUCACUUAAAGUACCUCCACUUCGUUUAUAUAAUUCCAAUAUAAUUAUUAAAAUGGGUUGAUGCCAACAAAAUACUUCAGUUUCACAAUAAUUUUGAACAAGUUAUCCAGAAGAAUUGUAUACCUAGUGAUUUCUCUAAAUAGAUAUAUUUUUAAGGUAGGUGGGUGAGUAGGUAGAGUGGCUGUCGGACGAUGCAACUAGGCCUAUAGGAGGCCCAUUGUGAUACCACCGAGACUAAAGUCCUCUCACUCUAUUGGCUCCUUUCUAAACCACUCCUUACUUCUGAUGAACUACGUGAGUAAGACAAGUUUUAUCCGUGCAAUCUCCGAGACGUCGUAAAGAAUCCCUCAACCAAUGGCUGUGAUUCUUUUCCAAGAAGUCAGUUUACUGGAAGUGUCCUGUUCGUACUCCUAGCAGAGUUCUUAUGUCAUUCCUUUUGAAUUUUAAUAGUCGGCCUCUGCGGUUCAUGUUCCAUUCCUGCCACGUUUGCCUGCUAUUUAAGCAAGUCUUGAAUCCACCGAGACACAGCUAGUUUUAUAACAUAUUCGCUGAUUAAUUGUUUACAAGUUGCCAGAGGCAUAAAAAUUCCCUCUUUUUCAGAGGCUAAUUGUUGAUUGGAGCCUGUUCUGGCUAGUUCAUCUGCUUCGAAGUUACCAGGUAUAUCAGUAUGCCCUCGAACCCAUUGCAGGUUAAUCGUGAAGUAGGAUAUUUGAUCCUUUAAUAGAUCAAGGCAUUCUUUCACUAUCUUUGAUGAGACCAUAGGAGACUUCAGGGAUUUCAAAGUCGCUGGGCUAUCCAUAUAUACGAUCUUUGUUGAUAGCACAAUUUUUGUCAGGACAACAAGGUAAGUCCUUGAAAUUAUUAUUUUAAAGAAAUGAAAUAAUAUAAAUUCUAAAUAUUUUAUUUUUUAUGUAUGUAGAUUAACGUAAUAACUUUAAAAUAAAUAGGGAAGCUUUCAAUUUAGAUAUACAUACAUAUGUACAUUUGUAUUUAUGUAUGUAAUUAGAAAAAAUGUAUUUAGAAACAAAUAUUAAUUCAUUUAUUAAAAAAUAAACUAACAUGCAUUUAUUUAGGAUAAUAUUAAAGAUUUUGUCAUAUUAUUUCUCCCCAUUUAGAUUAUGUGUGUGAUUGUUACAAUAUUCAUGGUGCAUUGAUGGUGUAUAGUAGUAACUCCGUCAUAUCCUUAUACUUAGGAGUUGAAAUGGGAUGUGCAUUUCUGUAUAAUGGUGUUAAUUUAAUUUUCGUUGAAGUUCCUUGGUCUUCCCCGACAAGGUAAUAAAUCAAGUAUCAUAAAAUCAAAACAAGAAAAAACGUUAUCGUCGGUUGCACCGAAGCUAUAAUACCCUUUACAAAUGAAAAGGUUCCUUACAAGAACUUGAUUCCGAUCAUUCACUUUGUAUGGCUGCUAUAUAAUAUAGUGAUCUGAUCUGAACAAUUUCUACAAAGAUUACAUUGUUGCCUUAUGGCAAUAACUCAUGCCUAAUUUCGUGAAGAUAUCUCGUCAAAUGAAAAAGCAAGCACCUUAUUCCGAUCGUUCAGUUAAUAUGACAGUUAUAUGCAAUAAUCAUCCGAUCUAUACAAUUUCUGCGGAGAUUGCAUUAUUGCCUUAAAUAAUAAUCCAAAUUCCCAUACAAGCACUUGAUUCCGAUUGUUCGGUUUAUAUGGCAGAUAUAUGCUAUAGUAGUCCGAUAUCCGUUCCGACAAAUAAGCAGCUUCUUAGUGAGAAAAAGACAGGUGCAACAUUUCAGAUCGAUAGCUUAAAAAUUGAGGGACUAGUUCGCAUACUUAUAUACAGACAGACAGACGGACAUGGCUAAAUCAACUCAGCAUUCGUGAAUUUGAACGCUCUGUUUGUGCGUAAGUAUGUCUUAGGUGUCUCAAUAUGCCUUCUAUUCAAUAUAACAAGAAUAAGAACUUCACUCAUAAAUACAUAUACGCAUUUAUCCAUAAACUGUUUCUUCAUGAUCAGAGAUAAAGAUAUGCCCAACUCUCCUGCCAUUGUAUAUGAGAGAGUAACUACCUACCCGAGUUUGACAGUUGACUGGAUCGGGUAGGCUCUGGCGUUUAGCCAUUGGAACGAGUGGAAUGGCCAGAUUAAAAUUCUCCAAAAAACUGUAGGGGAGCGGAGAGAUUUAUUGCUGCCGUUUAAGAUCAUUAACAAAAAAUGUAAAACAAUGAAAAUUAAAGAAAACGCGAAAUUUAAAUGUAUUUAAUCAAAUGUUUUGUGAUGUAAUGCUUCGUAGUAUUAGUUUUGAAUUGAAAAUAAUUAAAAGGAUUUAUUAAUUCAGUGGUAGAGUCGUCACAUUCGUGCACGGAUCGGCAACCAUAUCAAAGAAAAUUACGUGAUUCGAUAAUCGUAUACGGUGAUUGGCAUUAUAACAUAUGAUAGCACACGGAUCAUAAUUUAUUUUUAAUUCACGAUAGUUUUUAGGUCAUAAUAGAUGUGAAACUGUCAAUACUGUUGCCAAUUUUAAAUAAACUAACAAAAGCAAAUUAAAUAUCAAAAUGAAUCCGACUUUGUUCUUUUAAGUAUAUGAGCUCUAGUGAAUGUGAUGGGGAUGAAAAAAUAGUGCAGAGGCAGCUUAGAGAUCGAAGUAAUCCUUUGGAACUGUCGUAUACAGCAUAGAUUUUUUGAACGAUUUCGUCUAACUAAAGAGGCUUUUGAAUGUCUCCUACAUAAUAUACUUAGGUUUAAUGCAAUCUGACGUCAGAGCAAUGUCUCCAGUGCUACAAGAGAGGCGGCCAAAUUAUUAUUCGAAUAGAGACAUUUUUCAUUUUUAUACACUGAACAGGGCAUAUUAAGUUUGCCACGAAGUUUGUAACACCCAGAAAGAAACGUCGGAGACCCUAUAAAAUAUGGGCAUAUGUAGGUGAUCAGCAUGAUGUGCUGAGUCGAUUUAGCCAUGCCCGUUUGUCCGUAUGUCUGUAUAUACGCGAACUAGUCUCUCAGUUUUCCAGCUAUCGAUUUCUAAAUCCAUUUCCAGCUCGGCUUGUUGGAAGCGAUGUUUUUGAUCAAUUAUGGUAAUCAAUCUUUCUUGCACUGACAGGCAUCAAGCCUCUUUGAAAUCUGACAGAGAUUUAAAAUUUUGCUGGAGUAACACCAACUUCUCAUCACUCCCACAUUUUCUCCUAGGUGUCCGUGGAGCUGUAUGUCAUCAUCCGAAACAUGUCACAAUUCGAAAAAAUUUGUGUUAUUAAAAAAAAUAUACCUUUAAUUUCCCCCGGUUAAUUGCACAAAAAACGUUCGUUAAAUAUAUGAAAACAUGUGUUUAUUGGUGUAAAUAUUUUGGAUGGUGCUGAUCAUCGUAAAUGGGCAGUAGAGAACUAUUAACUGAUCAGCGAGAGCUGAGAGGUAUCCAAGGAGGGCAGAAAAAGCCGGUGUACAAGGUACCAACAAAAAUAAAUUGUAGAAAAAAAAACUCAAUAUACUUUUUAUAAAAACCAA